rnacentral:rRNA from 1 species
UAGUCAUAUGCUUGUCUCAAAGAUUAAGCCAUGCAUGUCUAAGUACGAACUUUCACACGGUGAAACCGCGAAUGGCUCAUUAAAUCAGUUAUGGUUCCUUAGAUCGUACAAUCCUACUGCGGCGGCCACUGCCAGUCCUGACCUACCAGCCGGUUUUCCCUUGGUGCUCUUAACUGAGUGUCUCGGGUGGCCGGAACGUUUACUUUGAAAAAAUCAGGCUCAGGCUCGCUCAAAUCAGGCGGCGUCGCUUGUAUAAUGGUGCAUGGAAUAAUGGAAUAGGACCUCGGUUCUAUUUUGUUGGUUUUCGGAACUCGAGGUAAUGAUUAACAGGGACAGACGGGGGCAUUCGUAUUACGGUGUUAGAGGUGAAAUUCUUGGAUCGCCGUAAGACGAACAACUGCGAAAGCAUUUGCCAAGCAUGUUUUCUUUAGCCAGGAACGAAAGUCAGAGGUUCGAAGACGAUCAGAUACCGUCCUAGUUCUGACCAUAAACGAUGCCAACUGGCGAUUUGCCGGAGUUGCUUCAAUGACUCGGCGAGCAGCUUCCGGGAAACCAAAGUCUUUGGGUUCCGGGGGAAGUAUGGUUGCAAAGCUGAAACUUAAAGGAAUUGACGGAAGGGCACCACCAGGAGUGGAGCCUGCGUCUUAAUUUGACUCAACACGGGAAAACUCACCCGGCCCGGACACCGUUAGGAUUGACAGAUUGAGAGCUCUUUCUUGAUUCGGUGGGUGGUGGUGCAUGGCCGUUCUUAGUUGGUGGAGCGAUUUGUCUGGUUAAUUCCGAUAACGAACGAGACUCUCGCCUACUAAAUAGUUCACCGAUUUCGAUGCGUCGGUGUUAACUUCUUAGAGGGACAAGUGGCGUUUAGCCACACGAGAUUGAGCAAUAACAGGUCUGUGAUGCCCUUAGAUGUUCGGGGCCGCACGCGCGCUACACUGAAGGAACCAACGUGUGUCUGCCCUUGCCCGAGAGGGCUGGGUAACCCGGUGAACCUCCUUCGUGUUAGGGAUUGGGGCUUGUAAUUCUUCCCCAUGAACGAGGAAUUCCCAGUAAGCGCGAGUCAUAAGCUCGCGUUGAUUACGUCCCUGCCCUUUGUACACACCGCCCGUCGCUACUACCGAUUGAAUGGUUUAGUGAGAUCCUCGGAUUGGUCCCGGUGCCGGGGUUCUUCCCCGCGCCGGUGUGCCGAGAAGACGAUCAAACUUGAUCAUUUAGAGGAAGUAAAAGUCGUAACAAGGUUUCCG